rnacentral:rRNA from 1 species
CCUACGGGAGGCAGCAGUGAGGUAUAUUGGUCAAUGGACGCAAGUCUGAACCAGCCAAGUAGCGUGCAGGAUGACGGCCCUCCGGGUUGUAAACUGCUUUUAGUUGGGAAUAAAAGGGGGCUCGUGAGCCCCGUACUGUAUGUACCAUCAGAAAAAGGACCGGCUAAUUCCGUGCCAGCAGCCGCGGUACUACGGAGGGUCCGGGCGUUAUCCGGGUUUAUUGGGUUUAAAGGGAGCGUAGGCGGGCUUUUAAGUCAGCUGUGAUAGUCCGCGGCUCAACCGUGGAAUUGCAGUUGAAACUGGAGGCCUGGAGUGCACACAGGGAUGCCGGAAUUCAUGGUGUAGCGGUGAAAUGCUUAGAUAUCAUGAAGAACUCCGAUCGCGAAGGCAGGUGUCCGGGGUGCAACUGACGCUGAGGCUCGAAAGUGCGGGUAUCAAACAGGAUUAGAUACCCGAGUAGUC